rnacentral:tRNA from 1 species
AAGAAUGUAGUUUAAAAAGAAUAUUGUGUUGUGGUCACAAUGGUAUAUUUAUGAUGUCUUUCUUC